UAAGGCUCCCGGGGAAGACGUGGCGCCCUCAGCCCGCGGGAUCGGGCGCGCGCAGGACGGCCGGGGCGUCCCUCUGGGGAUGCGCCGAGGGCCCCGCGUUCGCGCUGCCCAGAGCCAGGGCGCCGCCCGGAGCCCAUGAGCACCAUGCGCCUGCUGACACUCGCCCUGCUUUUCUCCUGCUCCUUCGCCCGUGCCGCCUGCGACCCCAAGAUCGUCAACAUCGGCGCGGUACUGAGCACGCGGAAGCACGAGCAGAUGUUCCGCGAGGCUGUGAACCAGGCCAACAAGCGGCACGGCUCCUGGAAGAUCCAGCUCAACGCCACCUCUGUCACCCACAAGCCCAACGCCAUCCAGAUGGCCUUGUCGGUGUGCGAAGACCUCAUCUCCAGCCAGGUCUACGCCAUCCUAGUUAGCCACCCACCUACCCCCAACGACCACUUCACUCCCACCCCCGUCUCCUACACAGCUGGCUUCUACCGCAUCCCCGUCCUGGGGCUGACCACCCGCAUGUCCAUCUACUCAGACAAGAGCAUCCACCUUAGCUUCCUGCGCACCGUGCCGCCCUACUCCCACCAGUCGAGCGUCUGGUUCGAGAUGAUGCGCGUCUACAGCUGGAACCACAUCAUCCUCCUGGUCAGCGACGACCACGAGGGCCGGGCGGCGCAGAAGCGCCUGGAGACCCUGCUGGAGGAGCGCGAGUCCAAGAGUAAAAAAAGGAACUAUGAAAACCUCGACCAACUGUCCUAUGACAACAAGCGCGGACCCAAGGCUGAGAAGGUGCUGCAGUUCGACCCGGGGACCAAGAACGUGACGGCCCUGCUGAUGGAGGCGCGGGAGCUGGAGGCUCGGGUCAUCGUCCUCUCCGCCAGCGAGGACGACGCUGCCACCGUGUACCGCGCAGCCGCGAUGCUGAACAUGACCGGCUCGGGGUACGUGUGGCUGGUGGGGGAGCGCGAGAUCUCGGGGAACGCCCUGCGCUACGCCCCGGACGGCAUCAUCGGGCUGCAGCUCAUCAACGGCAAGAACGAGUCGGCCCAUAUCAGCGAUGCCGUGGGGGUGGUGGCCCAGGCCGUGCACGAGCUUCUCGAGAAGGAGAACAUCACCGAUCCGCCGCGGGGCUGCGUGGGCAACACCAACAUCUGGAAGACCGGGCCGCUCUUCAAGAGAGUGCUCAUGUCUUCCAAGUACGCAGACGGCGUGACCGGCCGCGUGGAAUUCAACGAGGAUGGGGACCGGAAGUUUGCCAACUACAGCAUCAUGAACCUGCAGAACCGCAAGCUGGUACAAGUGGGCAUCUACAACGGCACCCAUGUUAUUCCCAACGACAGGAAAAUCAUCUGGCCAGGCGGAGAGACAGAGAAGCCCCGAGGUUACCAGAUGUCCACCAGGCUGAAGAUCGUGACGAUCCACCAGGAGCCCUUCGUGUAUGUCAAGCCCACGCUGAGCGACGGCACGUGCAAGGAGGAGUUCACCGUGAACGGGGAUCCGGUGAAGAAGGUGAUCUGCACCGGGCCCAACGACACGUCGCCGGGCAGCCCACGCCACACCGUGCCUCAGUGCUGCUACGGCUUCUGCAUCGACCUACUCAUCAAACUGGCGCGGACCAUGAACUUCACUUAUGAGGUGCACCUAGUGGCGGACGGCAAGUUCGGCACGCAGGAGCGGGUGAACAACAGCAAUAAGAAGGAGUGGAACGGGAUGAUGGGCGAGCUGCUCAGCGGGCAGGCAGACAUGAUCGUGGCGCCGCUGACCAUCAACAACGAGCGCGCACAGUACAUCGAGUUCUCCAAGCCCUUCAAGUACCAGGGCCUGACCAUUCUGGUCAAGAAGGAGAUCCCCCGGAGCACGCUGGACUCGUUCAUGCAGCCCUUCCAGAGUACGCUCUGGCUGCUGGUGGGGCUGUCAGUGCAUGUGGUGGCCGUGAUGCUGUACCUGCUGGACCGCUUCAGCCCCUUUGGCCGGUUCAAAGUGAACAGCGAGGAGGAGGAGGAGGAUGCACUGACCCUGUCCUCGGCCAUGUGGUUCUCCUGGGGCGUCCUGCUCAACUCGGGCAUCGGGGAAGGCGCCCCCAGAAGCUUCUCGGCGCGCAUCCUGGGCAUGGUGUGGGCCGGCUUCGCCAUGAUCAUCGUGGCCUCCUACACUGCCAACCUGGCGGCCUUCCUGGUGCUGGACCGGCCCGAGGAGCGCAUCACCGGCAUCAACGAUCCCCGGCUGAGGAAUCCUUCGGACAAGUUCAUCUACGCGACGGUGAAGCAGAGCUCCGUGGACAUCUACUUCCGGCGGCAGGUGGAGCUGAGCACCAUGUACCGGCACAUGGAGAAGCACAACUACGAGAGCGCGGCCGAGGCCAUCCAGGCCGUGCGGGACAACAAGCUGCAUGCCUUCAUCUGGGACUCGGCGGUGCUGGAGUUCGAGGCCUCGCAGAAGUGCGACCUGGUGACCACCGGCGAGCUGUUCUUCCGCUCAGGCUUUGGCAUCGGCAUGCGCAAAGACAGUCCUUGGAAGCAGAACGUCUCCCUGUCCAUCCUCAAGUCCCACGAGAACGGCUUCAUGGAAGACCUGGACAAGACGUGGGUGCGGUACCAGGAGUGUGAUUCGCGUAGCAACGCCCCUGCUACCCUCACGUUCGAGAACAUGGCAGGGGUCUUCAUGCUGGUGGCCGGGGGCAUCGUGGCCGGGAUCUUCCUGAUCUUCAUCGAGAUCGCCUACAAGCGGCACAAGGAUGCUCGCCGGAAGCAGAUGCAGCUGGCCUUUGCAGCAGUGAACGUGUGGAGAAAGAACCUGCAGGUAGGGCAGGCCACCCUCCGAGGCCUGGUGCCCACGGCUCGGCCUGGCCCCGGCCCUCCUCCAUCCCCGCAGGCCGAAGCGUGGCUCUGGCUCCCAGGAGCCCCUGUGGCGAGGACUGGAGCUGGGAGCCACGGCCAAGGCCGCGCUGCUGGGGGCCGCCCGCAGGUGGCCGCCUCCGCAAAGCCGGGCUUCAAGCGUCCGCCUGGCCCCUCUGUCUCCAGAGUCGCCCACCGGCGCCCAUUCCAUAGGAAGGCAAACUGAGGCAGGGUAAGACAGGGACCCACCUGGGUGUAGCAUGUGAGUCCAAGACGCACUCUGCCCUCGCCGCCCCGCGCCCCUCCUUGGCACCCUCUGGGGACCCCCUUCCCCGCGGCCCUGGUGUGUCCUGUGCUCCAUAUAACUCCAGUCUUAACUGGCCGGCCGCUCCUGCCUGCAACCCCAGGCUGUGUCUGUGGGAAGUUGCCGCCAGCAGAGGACAGGCUGCACGUGGGGUGGCCACAGCCCACCUGGGACGGGCUCGUGCCCCAUAGUCCAGCCCCAGUCUGCCCCAUCUCUUCUCUUUCUCUGGGUACCUCCCCGGAGCCUGUGCCCUGGGAGGAAGCUGGUGCUGCAGGGAGGGAGGGCCGGGGCGACGGGGCUGCUGGAAGCCCACGCCUCUCAUCUGCCCUCUCUUGCUCUUGGGACCUGGCCGCUGCUCUCACUGGCGGGCACAGGGCCCGUCCUGACCAUCAGACCCGAGGCCAGGGUCCCAGGAGCUGCCUCCGUCUCUCUGUCACUCCAGCGCAUCUCGCCACCUGCCUUCGGCCCCUCAGCCCCUUCCUGAAUCUUGGUGCGCCUCCUCGGGGGUCAGAGUGGCCGGUGGGGCCGGUGGGGCAACUCCUCCCGUGCUCGGAGGGCUCCUCCUCCUCGGGACGCCCCUAAACCAGGGGCACCUCGGAGCCAGGGAGCCAGGCGGACCUCCCAGGAAGAGAGCCAGAUGGGACCCCCCGAGCCCAGCCCCAGCAUGAGCGAGGUCAGGCCCGAGAGCCGGGCAGGAGCAGAGGCCGCCUGCGAGUGUCCGACCAUCGGUCGGUCCAUCCAGCACAGGGAGGCAGGCCGGAGUGAGGGCCCGAGUGGCCAGCCAGGACGGGCAGCAGCCCCCAAGGAGCAGGCGAGGGCAGGUGUGGCCGCCACCCUUAGCCGUCUAAUCACUUAUACAUAUUCAUUUUAGGAUAGAAAGAGUGGUAGAGCAGAGCCUGACCCUAAAAAGAAAGCCACAUUUAGGGCUAUCACCUCCACCCUGGCUUCCAGCUUCAAGAGACGUAGGUCCUCCAAAGACACGAGCACCGGGGGUGGACGCGGCGCUUUGCAAAACCAAAAA